rnacentral:lncRNA from 10 species
CACGAAGGCUGAACUAUCUACUGCCUGGGCCUUUACGGAAAAUAGUAUGCUGACUCCUUCUUUAUAUGACUUGCAAAGCAGAGUUACCACAGUUUGGAUCAAGAAAGGUGUGUCCUCUUAGAAGCUUUUGGCUGAUAGUGAGAGAAAACCCUCGCGCACUGAGGAAGUCCACUGGCUCACAUGGCUGGAAGGGCAGCGGCAAGGUCCUACCCAUCCUUUAUGUCCCAGCUUAGAGAACAUCAACUGUAAAGAAUCUAUCUCUGGUCAACAUGUCUGAAAGUGAGCGUUGUGAUGAAGGCAGGGCAUCACGUUAGUGGGAAGGCUCAUUCUCCCAGUGUUAUCCUGUCUGGGCACUGAGUGACGUGGCCUUGCCAUAUUCCAUUCAACCUCCUCAGGCCCUAACCAUCCUUUAUGUCCCAGCCCAGAGAACAUCAGCUCUAAAGAAUCCAUCCCUGGUCAACACGUCUGAAAGUGAGCAUUGCGAUGAAAGCAGUGCAUCGUGUUAGUGGAAAGGCUCGUUCUCCCAGUGUUAUCCUGUCUGGGCACUGAGUGACGUGGCCAUCU